GCCUUAUUUUAGUAUUAGUAUUGUCAUCUGAUAAAGUCAUGCCAAUUAUAAGAUACACAGUUUUUCUCUGCUUUCAAAUCUUUCUGUUUGAACCCGUCGAACUGGAACUUAUCAAUUAUUGGUAAUAUUAAUUAUUUGGAAAACAAAAGGUCCUGGAAUGGAGUAUUUUUUAAUCAACAGCAUUGUCCUAUAUUAGUUAUAAAUAAAGUUGAAUUCUUUGAUUCGCUGUUUUACGUCAUGCCCACUAACAAAUUGAAAACUGUACCUAUACGGCUUAUUUUUAGUCGAGAUUUUUAGUAUUCGUAUUGUUAUCUUAGAAAGUCUUACUGAUUAAAAUAUUACAAUAGGUAACAAUUUGACAAUUUAGUAAUGUCAACCCUGUGAUUAUGACCCGUGUAUAUAGUAUAUAUUAAUCCUGAAUACACCGUUUGGUGGUGCGCCUGUCAGAUGCAGAACGUACAGAUAAGGUAAUAGGUAACAGGUGAAUAUACUAUUGGUAUCGGUAUCGGACUCGACCCGGAACUUCUUAAUUAUUGGCAAUAUUAAUUACGUGGAAAACAAAAGGGCCUGGAGUGGUGUAAUUUUUAAUCUGCACCAUUAUGACCCGUGUUUUAUAGCAUAUUAAUCCUGAAUACACCGUUUGGUGGUGCGCCUGUCAGAUGCGGAACGUACAGAUAAGGUAAUAGGUAACAGGUGAAUAUACUAUUGGUAUCGGUAUCGGACUCGACCCGGAACUUCUUAAUUAUUGGCAAUAUUAAUUACGUGGCAAACAAAAGGGCCUGGAGUGGUGUAAUUUUUAAUCUGCACCAUUAUGACCCGUGUAUAUAGCAUAUUAAUCCUGAAUACACCGUCUGGUGGUGCGCCUGUCAGAUGCGGAACGUACAGAUAAGGUAAUAGGUAACAGGUGAAUAUACUAUUGGUAUCGGUAUCGGACUCGACCCGGAACUUCUUAAUUAUUGGCAAUAUUAAUUACGUGGAAAACAAACGGGCCUGGAGUGGUGUAAUUUUUAAUCUACACCUUUGUACUAUAUUAGUUAUAAAUAAAGUUGAAUUCUGUGAUUCGUCG
rnacentral:lncRNA from 1 species